rnacentral:rRNA from 1 species
UACGGAGGAUGCAAGCGUUAUCCGGAAUUAUUGGGCGUAAAGCGUCCGCAGGUGGUUUUUCAAGUCUGCUGUCAAAGACGGGAGCUUAACUCCCGCAAGGCAGUGGAAACUGGAAAACUAGAGUUCGGUAGGGGUAGCGGGAAUUCCCAGUGUAGCGGUGAAAUGCGUAGAUAUUGGGAAGAACAUCGGUGGCGAAAGCGCGCUACUGGGCCGAAACUGACACUCACAGGACGAAAGCUAGGGGAGCGAAAGGG